rnacentral:rRNA from 1 species
CGCGGCCUAUCAGCUUGUUGGUGAGGUAGCGGCUCACCAAGGCGACGACGGGUAGCCGGCCUGAGAGGGCGACCGGCCACACUGGGACUGAGACACGGCCCAGACUCCUACGGGAGGCAGCAGUGGGGAAUAUUGCACAAUGGGCGCAAGCCUGAUGCAGCGACGCCGCGUGAGGGAUGACGGCCUUCGGGUUGUAAACCUCUUUCAGCAGGGAAGAAGCGUGAGUGACGGUACCUGCAGAAGAAGCGCCGGCUAACUACGUGCCAGCAGCCGCGGUAAUACGUAGGGCGCAAGCGUUGUCCGGAAUUAUUGGGCGUAAAGAGCUCGUAGGCGGCUUGUCGCGUCGGUUGUGAAAGCCCGGGGCUUAACUCCGGGUCUGCAGUCGAUACGGGCAGGCUAGAGUUCGGUAGGGGAGAUCGGAAUUCCUGGUGUAGCGGUGAAAUGCGCAGAUAUCAGGAGGAACACCGGUGGCGAAGGCGGAUCUCUGGGCCGAUACUGACGCUGAGGAGCGAAAGCGUGGGGAGCGAACAGGAUUAGAUACCCUGGUAGUCCACGCCGUAAACGGUGGGCACUAGGUGUGGGUCACGAUUCCACGUGGUCCGUGCCGCAGCUAACGCAUUAAGUGCCCCGCCUGGGGAGUACGG